rnacentral:rRNA from 1 species
AUUGAACGCUGGCGGCAGGCCUAACACAUGCAAGUCGAGCGGAUGAAGGGAGCUUGCUCCUGGAUUCAGCGGCGGACGGGUGAGUAAUGCCUAGGAAUCUGCCUGGUAGUGGGGAUAACGUCCGGAAACGGGCGCUAAUACCGCAUACGUCCUGAGGGAGAAAGUGGGGGAUCUUCGGACCUCACGCUAUCAGAUGAGCCUAGGUCGGAUUAGCUAGUUGGUGGGGUAAAGGCCUACCAAGGCGACGAUCCGUAACUGGUCUGAGAGGAUGAUCAGUCACACUGGAACUGAGACACGGUCCAGACUCCUACGGGAGGCAGCAGUGGGGAAUAUUGGACAAUGGGCGAAAGCCUGAUCCAGCCAUGCCGCGUGUGUGAAGAAGGUCUUCGGAUUGUAAAGCACUUUAAGUUGGGAGGAAGGGCAGUAAGUUAAAUCCUUGCUGUUUUGACGUUACCAACAGAAUAAGCACCGGCUAACUUCGUG